rnacentral:rRNA from 1 species
CACGUAGUUAGCCGGGGCUUCUUAGUCAGGUACCGUCUUUUUUCUUCCCUGCUGAUAGAGCUUUACAUACCGAAAUACUUCUUCACUCACGCGGCGUCGCUGCAUCAGGGUUUCCCCCAUUGUGCAAUAUUCCCCACUGCUGCCUCCCGUAGGAGUUUGGGCCGUGUCUCAGUCCCAAUGUGGCCGGCCACCCUCUCAGGUCGGCUACUGAUCGUCGGCUUGGUAGGCCGUUACCCCACCAACUACCUAAUCAGGCGCGGGCCCAUCUUAUACCACCGGAGUUUUUCGCUCUUCCCCAUGCGGGGAUGGGCGCUUAUGCGGUAUUAGCAGUCAUUUCUAACUGUUAUCCCCCAGUAUAAGGCAGGUUGCCCACGUGUUACUCACCCGUCCGCCGCUAAACCGUUACCAAUUCCAUCCGAAAACUUCCUUCGUAACGCUUCCGCUCGACUUGCAUGUGUUAGGCACGCCGCCAGCGUUCAUCCUGAGCCAGGAUCAAACUCU